rnacentral:rRNA from 1 species
AAUCAUUAAAAUUUUCAACGGCCGCAGUACCUUGACUGUGCAAAGGUAGCGUAAUCAGUUGGCUUUUAAAUGGGGUCUAGAAUGAGUGGGUUAUUGGGGGUAAGCUGUCUCUAUUUGUGUUGUUUAUAACUUCUUCAUGGGGUGAAAAUACCCCUAGAAUAUAGAAGGACGAGAAGACCCUAGGAGCCUAAAAUAAAAAAGCUUUUUAACUUUUAUUUUUUUGUUGGGGCGACAAAGGGUCAAAGUACAAACACCCUAAAGUUGAAAUUUAAUGAGACGGUGUUUAAAAGACUAAGAAGGUUACCCUAGGGAUAACAGCUUAAUAAUUUUUUUGUUUGAGACCUCGAUGUUGGACUAGGGACCAAAAGACAAGCAGUCUGUCUGGCAAGUUCUGUUCGAACUACUUAACCCUACGUGAUCUGA